GACGAACGCUGACGGCGUGCUUAACACAUGCAAGUCGAACGGAAAGGCCCUGCUUUUGUGGGGUGCUCGAGUGGCGAACGGGUGAGUAACACGUGAGUAACCUGCCCUUGACUUUGGGAUAACUUCAGGAAACUGGGGCUAAUACCGGAUAGGAGCUCCUGCUGCAUGGUGUUGGUUGGAAAGUGUCGGCGGUUGGGGAUGGACUGGCGGCUCAUCAGCUUGUUGGUGGGGUAGUGGCUUACCAAGGCUUUGACGGGUAGCCGGCCUGAGAGCGUGACCGGCCACAUUGGGCCUAAGGUAGGGCCCAGACUCCAACGGGAGGCAGCAGGGGGGAGUAUUGCACAAUGAGCGGAAGCGUGAUGCAGCAGCGCCGCGUGCGGAAUGACGGCCUUCGGGUUAUAAACCGCUUUCGCCUGUGACGAGGCGUGAGUGACGGUAAUGAAUAAAGAAGCACCGGCUAACUACGUG
rnacentral:rRNA from 1 species